GGUGGUGAGCAGAACGCUGCUGAAACAAUCAAGCCGAACAUAUUUAAAAUGGAAAGCAUUCAUGUGAAUCGUUACUAUGACAGGCGGGGAGCUCUGGAAGUUUGUUUAAUGAAACAUUGCCACUGACUGAAGUGUUCAAGCAUGAGAAGAGCAGUAUUUAGAAGAAUCUUGCUUCCUCAUCCUGAACUGUGACUCACCAAUUCCUGGAGAACAGAGGACGCACCCUCCCCCAGUCCCAGAAUAUGGAAGGAAUAAAGAUGGACUGCAGAGAGCCCUCCGCAUAACAAACAUGAAGCCCCCAAAAGACUAACCCCACAAAAACCACUCCAAGGUAAAA